GGUCCGGUGGCCGAGUGGUGAGGCAGUGGAUUGCAAAUCCAUGCACGCCGGUUCGAUUCCGGCCCGGACCUCCA
rnacentral:tRNA from 1 species